ACACCCUUCACUUUGGGAAUGAGUCCAGGUGCAGAAUUCAAACAGGAAAACAGUGCAUUCCUUACUUGCAAGGGACGAAGCUGCAAGAGUGACCUUUACAGAAGACAUGGCCCAGGAGUGACACAUUGUCAACGCACAGGAACCGGGGGACUCCUUGACACGGCGCAUGUUUCUGUAGGAAAGUGACUUGUGGGCUGGCUAUAAAUGUCCUGGAAUUGCUAUAAAUGUAUAGGGGAUCACUUUGGAAUAAAAAUGUUUCUAGCUCAA